GACGAACCGUGCGAACGUUGUUCGGAAUCACUGGGCUUAAAGGGCGCGUAGGCGGGCCUCCAAGUCCGAGGUGAAAUCCUCCAGCCUAACUGGAGAAGAGCCUCGGAGACUGGGGGCCUCGAGGGAGGUAGGGGCGUGCGGAACUAUGGGUGGAGCGGUGAAAUGCAUUGAUAUCCAUAGGAACUCCGGUGGCGAAGGCGGCACGCUGGACCUCUUCUGACGCUGAGGCGCGAAAGCCAGGGGAGCAAACGGG
rnacentral:rRNA from 1 species